UACGGGGGGGGCAAGCGUUGUUCGGAAUUACUGGGCGUAAAGGGCUUGUAGGUGGCCAACUAAGUCAGACGUGAAAUCCCUCGGCUUAACCGGGGAACUGCGUCUGAUACUGGAUGGCUUGAGUGUGGGAGAGGGAUGCGGAAUUCCAGGUGUAGCGGUGAAAUGCGUAGAUAUCUGGAGGAACACCGGUGGCGAAGGCGGCAUCUUGGACCAUUACUGACACUGAAAAGCGAAAGCCAGGGGAGCAAACGGG
rnacentral:rRNA from 1 species